CGAGUCCGAGGAGCUACGGCUCUUAAGUGAUACAAGUCAGACUUCCCAGAAAAGCCCGAACCACGUUAAUUUCUAAUUACCUGUACCCGAAACCGACACAGGUGGGUAGGUAGAGUAUACUAAGGGGCGCGAGAUAACUCUCUCUAAGGAACUCGGCAAAAUGACUCCGUAACUUCGGGAGAAGGAGUGCCUUAUUUAUAAGGUUGCAAUAACAAGAUCCAAGCAACUGUUUAUCAAAAACACAGGUCUCCGCUAAGUCGUAAGACGAUGUAUGGGGGCUGACGCCUGCCCAGUGCCAGAGGGUUAAAGAAGUUGGUUAGUGUAUGCGAAGCUGAUGACUGAAGCCCUGGUGAACGGCGGCCGUAACGAUAACGGUCCUAAGGUAGCGAAAUUCCUUGUCGGGUAAGUUCCGACCCGCACGAAAGGCGUAAUGAUUUGGAUACUGUCUCGGAGAGAGGCUCGGUGAAAUAGACUUGUCUGUGAAGAUGCGGACUACCUGCACCAGGACAGAAAGACCCUAUGAAGCUUUACUGUAACUUGAAAUUGGAAUUGGACUUUGCUUGCGCAGUAUAGGUGGGAAGCGUUGAAGAUAUUCUUGCGGGAGUAUUGGAGCUAUCAGUGAGAUACCACUCUUGUAAUGUUAGAUUUCUAACUUUGAACCAUAAUCUGGUCAAAGAACAGUUUCAGGUGGGCAGUUUGACUGGGGCGGUCGCCUCCCAAAUGGUAACGGAGGCGUACAAAGGUUUCCUCUGAACGGAUAGAAAUCGUAUCUAGAGUGUAAAGGCAUAAGGAAGCUUGACUGUGAGACCUACAAGUCGAGCAGGGACGAAAGUCGGUCUUAGUGAUCUGACGGUACUGAGUGGAAAGGCCGUCACUCAACGGAUAAAAGUUACUCUAAGGAUAACAGGCUGAUCUCCCCCAAGAGUUCACAUCGACGGGGAGGUUUGGCACCUCGAUGUCGGCUCAUCGCAUCCUGGGGCGGUAGUACGUCCCAAGGGUUGGGCUGUUCGCCCAUGAAAGCGGUACGCGAGCUGGGUUCAGAACGUCGUGAGACAGUUCGGUCCAUAUCCGGUGUAGGCGUUAGAAUAUUGAGAGGAGCCUUCUUUAGUACGAGAGGACCGAGAAGGACACACCGCUGGUGUACCAGUUAUCGUGCCAACGGUAAACGCUGGGUAGCUAUGUGUGGAGUGGAUAACCGCUGAAAGCAUCUAAGUGGGAAGCCCACCUCAAGAUGAGUAUUCUCA
rnacentral:rRNA from 1 species